rnacentral:lncRNA from 10 species
AGCUAUUACUAACUUCUCCAUUUGAUUUUUUAUGGAUGUGAAAAAUGCUGCUACUUGUCUAUGUUAUUAUGUGGUAUUUGUUCUCUUGGAUUGAAAUUUAUGCCCACAGAUUUUUCUUUUCAUUUGAAAAUGAAUGUGAAGAUACUGUUUACAGCUUUUGUUAAUUGCACUUUUCAUCACUCUGAUCAAUUUCUUGUAAAGUGCUAUGGGAAUUAUUUUUCCUGUGAAUAUUAAUGAUUUUACUACUGCCUCCGAAGUUUUAAAAAAGGUUCUGUAGACAGAAAACAGUUGUUGCAACCAAAAACAACCAAAAAAAGAAAAAAAGGGAAAACUGGCUUACCUUUCUCAGAUGAAUUAAAUGAUUUUAAUAACUUCCCAAUUACCAGGGUUAUAACAUUGCUUUCUUCAGUUAUUAAUACAGUCAAAUUAAUUUUAACAAUAUAGGCACAAUUCAUUUACAAAUUCAGUACAGUAGUCCAGGGCUACAUGUAAGUGGUCUCUUUAUUUUAUUCUUUACAUCAGAAAAAUCAUGAAUGUCAGUUUUGCCAGUAUUUUACAAUGAGGCUUAUCGUUUAAAAUUUUAUAGUGUAUGACAUGUAAAUAAACCAGUAUUUAUUGUAGGUUGUUUGAUUCAGGCAUUUCAAAUGGAUAUAGGUUAAUGGCAAUGGAAUCCUAUUUAUUUGGUAGUUGGUUUUGUUUGUUUUUGUUUAUUUACUUUUGCUAUUUGUUUUGUAUUGUCUAAACUUUGCUUCAACUGAAGACAGUGUAAGGAGUUGAAAAUACAAUCAACAUAGCAAUGGAAAGCAAUGCAAAGAGGGUAAAUCUUGUUUUAAUUUUUUUAACUUUUUUUUUUUGUAAAUAAAUAGUACUGUGAUACUUUAGGUGUGACCUCUAUUCCACAUGAUAGUUAGAACCAGAAAAACACUUUUGCUUUCUAGUUAUACUAUUGGUUCAUUGUAAAUGCAUUACCAAAAGACAAUAUGAAAAAGAGCAAGAUUAAGUUUUUCUAACAUUGUCCACUUCAGGGGCAAGCAUGCUUGGUAUAGAGCUCUAGCUUGUGUAUACCUUAAACUGUAACUUGCAGGUGUUUUUCAGUUGCUGCACUUUUUAUUUAAUCUUGCUCAGUCCCAGUAACUAUCUCAAAGGUAAUUGCUGGAAUAUGCAUUUUGAAAUACGGUUUAAAAAAAAUCUGUGUAUUGUUUCAUCUAAAAAGAAAAGCACUAUUGGAAACACUAAAAACGUGUUAAACUUUGUAGUUAUUUUGCAUUCCUGUACUUUACAAACUGUCAUCACAGCAAAAAGUUUAAAAUUAGGUAAUGAAAUAUUUUUGUAAAUAAAUACCGUUAAGCUGGUAUUUUAAAAAAUGUAUUAUAAAUUAAUUAAUGUUUCUGGAAAAUGUUCAUAUAUAUGUAUAUGAAUGUCUCUUUAUGCUGAAGGGCUCUGAUUGGGCAAAAUAAAAUACUCUAAUCUCUCCUGA